UACGGAGGGUGCGAGCGUUGUCCGGAUUUAUUGGGUUUAAAGGGUGCGUAGGCGGCUCUCUAAGUCCGAGGUGAAAGCCCGUUGCUUAACAACGGAACUGCCUUGGAUACUGGGGAGCUUGAGUACAGACGAGGUUGGAGGAAUGGACCGAGUAGCGGUGAAAUGCAUAGAUACGGUCCAGAACCCCGAUUGCGAAGGCAGCUGACUAGGCUGUUACUGACGCUGAGGCACGACAGCGUGGGGAGAGAACAGG
rnacentral:rRNA from 1 species